AGCCAGUGAAAUGCCCUAAAAGUCCACACCAGACAAAAGGAGCCGGUAUCAGGCACGCCAUGACAGCCCAAAACACCUUGCUUCGCCACACCCCCAAGGGUACUACAACAGUGAUUAACUUUAAGCAAUAAGCAUAAGCUUGACUUAGUUAUAGUAAAUUACACUCAGGGUUGGUAAAUCUCGUGCCAGCCACCGCGGUUAUACAAGAAACCCAAAGCAACAAUAAUAGCGGCGUAAAAUGUGGUUAAACUAAAUUCAUAAAAACCUAAGGUUGCCCCUUCCACCAAACUGUCAUACGUAAAGUACAAAUCAACUCAAUACGAAAGUAGCCUUAAUGUACCAGAAAACUUGAAUCCACGAUCGUUAAGACACAAACUGGGAUUAGAUACCCCACUAUGCUUAACCCUAAACUUAGAUAAUUUAAAUACAAAACUAUCCGCCAGAAAACUACGAGCAAAACGCUUAAAACUCCAAGGACUUGGCGGUACCUCAAAUCCACCUAGAGGAGCCUGUUCUAUAAUCGAUAAUCCACGAUAAACCUCACCAUCUUUUGCCAAUCCAG
rnacentral:rRNA from 1 species